UCUUCCAUGAUAUAUCAUGGCUCAACUUUUGGCAUAAUGCAGCGUCAUCCGGUGAGGUACUGUGUUGAACAUUCAUGCAAUCGCACAUCCCUGGUAGAUCACUUUGUAACAUCAAGGCCAUAUUUAUACUGUUUACUUCGCAACCAUUGUGACGAAACAUGAAAUAGUUGCUGCCGUAAUAAAGUUCCAGGGUUGUAAAAUCCUGUCUGUGAGUAUUAGAAACUGUUGUGGAGGUGUUUUGUCAUCUGAUAAACCUUUCAAAGCAUAAAUCUGUUACUCCAACAUGAUGUCUUGGAUCAGAUAUCAUGCCGUUGCUCUCACCAACACAGCCUCCUGUGUUGUUUUUAAACAGAAAUGGUGAUUGGACACUGGCCCCACCGGCAUCCGACGUCGGAAAGCUGCGGGAGGAGAUGGUUUCUGAAGCUAGUCGACAGUCCGACCAGAACUUCUGAUGCAGUAUACUUGUCCCUUAAUGAUGAGCACUGUAGACUCUAACUGCAACAAACUGGGUUCAAAUCUCAUUGAACCCUCAUUUUUAUGAUCAGGUCCCACCGAGAUUUGAACUCGGAUCGCUGGAUUCAGAGUCCAGAAUGCGCUUCAUCACACCAUGGAACCACUGCAACUUUGACACCCUACACAGUAAAAGACACCUGAUGUCAGAAGUGGGAUUCGAACCCACGCCUCCAGAGGAGACUGCGACCUGAACGCAGCGCCUUAGACCGCUCGGCCAUCCUGACUGAAAAAGUGCCAUGUUUGAUUGAAUUUUUUUUUAGAUAUCAUGAUAUAGCACAU